AGGAGCUGACCAGCAAGAAAAGGCUGGGAAAACAUGAGCGCUCGGAGGAGAAACAAGAUGGCGGCCACCAGCGAAGGAAGCCGGCUGAACCCAGAAAGGAAUUCAGGUAGAGAUCAAGCCAGAGAAGCAAAAAAUCACCUGAAAACCUACGGAUUUCAAGAAAGCAGGAAGCAAGAAUCCAGAGGCCAUAUGAGAAAGAAGAGGAGAUAUUUUAUGGAGUAAGCUGUCCUGCAACGUAGGGAGGCAAUGGACUCUCUGUGGAAAAGGAUCUUGGUUUCCAGUUCACGAGUGGGGCUAAGAGAAGUCACUCUAGCCUUCAACUGCAUCUGAAAUUAGCACAACAUUGUAAAUCAACUAUACUUCAAGAAAAUAAAUUUUUUUUACAAAGCUCUGCUGUGGAAGAAAUACCUGUG
ensembl:lncRNA